GCUUUGUUUGCUCCACCCAUAGCAACCGAGAAAAACAUACACAGACUGCAGGAAAGUUUCAGCCUGAGACACUGACGGAGAUCCACAGCGGAAAGUUCCAGAAGAACAAUGUGGACGCCUCCUCCUGCUUCCCUCUAGUGUGGGCAACGAUAACUACAUCACCCUGGACUGCACUUACAGAGGCAAAGUUUAACAUUCAAGGCCGUCAGCUAUCAUGCCAGCGCUCCUCUUCCCCCCGCUGCUCCUGUUUCCAUUCGAGUAAAAGCUCCCGGCGUUACUGCAUUAGCGAGACACGGAUUCACCAUUUGACGCUCAUCCACGGCACCAUGUGGAAUCAGAGUCUAUAAAAAGAACAUUCUUCCGCGCAAACAGCUCAAAUCGUUGCAGUUUCAUGCGUGCCAGCGAUGGUUUGAUCGUGUCGACAGGUGAGUCACUUGUAAAGAAAAUCAAAUCUUCCUACUGCAUCGCUGAAUCUGCAGUCGGAAUUAGACAUCAGCACCAUCUCUGCUCCCUCUCUGCAGCGUUACUCAUGUCAGGUGACCCAGCGUUCCCGAAUCCGUAUGACAUUGAUUUAUCCCCGUAAAUAUAGCACUUCCUCGGGAAUAUCGCAGCAAGCAGGAAACAGAUUGGUCAGAAGGUGUGUGCGAUAACAGAGGUGGAAACGGUGAGCAACAGGACAAAUAAUAGAAAGACUGAGAUCUGCAAACAUGUGGGCGACGUGGGACAUAUUACGGAGUGUUGAUGUCGCUGGAAGUCAUCUCAUCCUGUAAUUCAUAUGAGCUCAACAUGCUGUACAGAUAAGGGAAAAGCACAUGAAAGCACACAAACCUAUAAAGAAGAUUAACAAACUGUAGCACGGAGGCUUAGCAAAGUACAAAAAACUAACAAGUUUGCGGUUUUGCAAUCCAAUAUAAUAAGUGUACAACAAGCACAUACUGGUUCAAGUCAUCAUAAUAGUGGUUACAAUGAAACCCAAGGGCUAGUUCCUAAUUCACGCCCAAUUAAAAACAAGCUGCACUCACUGAAGGGCCUUCAUCCCUGAAAGCAUGCUGUGAAAUCAGAGGAGGAAAAAACAGAGGUGUAAAUGAGGGGUUUAGAAGCAGAAAAAAAACCCUGAACUGAGUUUUAUAUCAUUUCUGUAAUAUUUUAUGGUCUAGAUUUUAGUGGCAAAGUGGUCUAACCCACAAUCUAAAUAUAGUGUUACAGUGACGCUUCCAAUAUUAGACCAUUCUUGAAAACAAUAAACUUUGAACCCAUUUUUUCUCAAAAACUACAGAAAGUGGGUUAGAUCACUCUUAUCUAAAAUGCUUCAAACGUGAUCCAAAAUCAUUCAAAAUGUGUCAAAAAUGACUUCAAAAUGAUUGAGAAUUACAGGAAUUUUUCCAGAGAUGAUUUAAAACGAUGAAAAAUUCUUUAGAAUGACAUGAAAAUAGUCUGAAAUGACUGGAAAAUGAUCCAACAUCAGUCAGAAUUUCUCUCAGAUGAUUAAAAAUGAUCCAGAAUGACUGAAAAUUUGCAGAAUGAUACAGAAUUUAGUUCAAGAUGCUUUAAGAAUCAUCCGAAAUGACUCAAAAUUGGUCUAAAAUGACUUGAAAAUCAUCCAAAAUUACAGUAAAAUUGUCAGAAAUGACAAAACUUUUCCCAAAUUGACUUCAAAAUGUACAAAAUGACUCCGGAAUUGUAAAAAAAAAAUACUUAAAUUUGUUCAGAAUGAAGUGAAAAUUGUUUAAAAUGACUGAAAACUUGCAGAAUGAAAUGAGGGGGUUAGAAGCAGAAUGGUCUAACCCACAAAGAAUCUGAACUGAGUUUUAUAUAAUUUCUGUUACAUUUUAUGAUCUAGAGUUCAGUGGCAAAGUGGUCUAACCCACAACCCAAAUACAGCGUUAAAGUGGAAUGUUAGGCCAUUCUUGAAAACAUGGAAGUACAAAGUAGCACAAAAUGGAAAUACUCAAGUAAAUUAAAAGUAGCUUCAAAUUGUUUGUAAGAAUUUUGAAGUUUGAGAUUGGGAAGAGUUAUGAUGGGAAUGAUGUGAGGUCCUCAGACGUCAUGAAAUAAUAAGAUUAAAGCAGCCCUGUUUUCACACAAACGUGGGGCUGAAUGGGUCUGAACACUCUAUCGUCUGUGAAAGAAGCUCCAGUCAGCCGGAAUAACUGAAAUGACCUCAGGGGUAUGCACUGCCUUUGGAGAUCGUUUACAUUUUUAUAACAACUAAUGCGUCUUCGUCAACCUAUGGAGUGAAAUAUUGAACUUUUCUUUAUCUAAUUUGACUCUAGGCAUCAGAAUCAAGAUGCAAAAAAUACAUUCGAUGCAUUUAACAAAAGCUUUAAAAUAACUGCAGUGGAGUAAAAAGUGAACAUGUCUCUGAAAUGUUCAAAAUUGUAUACCAAUACUAAAUAGUAAAUAUACCCAUUAUACUCAUAUAUUCUUGUUUUCAUGUUAUGUAUCUCUAUUUUAUGCUACUUUGUACAUUAGGUUCAUGACAUUUUUGAAAGAAAAUGAUGUUUUUGUGCUAUAGCAGCACUUUGCUAUGCAGAUUGAUUUACAACAAACACAUAUGGUUCAAGUUAACAUAUUGAAAACACAAAACUUUGAAUCCAUUUUUCUCAACAACUACAGAAAGUGCGACCACUCUGCUUCCAAACCCUUCAUUUCAUCCCCCAUCGUCAUACUGUAUUUGCUGUGUGAGGGUUUAAGACCACAGUUUUUGCAGGAGUUUUACUGUAUUACAAUAUUACAAAGCUGGAGAAUUGUCAUUUGAUUCAUGAUUUAACUGGAGAAUUAACGUGAAUUAGUUUACAGCUAGCGAUACAGUCGCUUUGUUGUGCUGUAAAAGUAGUAAAAUGAACAUUUAGGAACUUAAUCCUAAUGUAUACAUAAUGUAAAGCUGCAGUGUUAAAGCUUAAAUCACAAGAUUAGUGAUUAAUACAGAAAGUAAUCUUAGAUAAUAACUCAGUUUAGAUUAUUCAGCUGGUCUGAUAUUACUUGAUGCUGAAGCUGAUCAAACCGCUGCAGUAAAUGAAUCACAUUUCAAGUUAUUACUCCCUAAACGUUGUGCAGUACAAUCAGCUCAAAAGCAUGUCAAAUUGAAUACAUAUAAUAUACAUGCCACUUUAUGAGCUCAGCUUGUCAGCUGUUUUACAAGUCAAUAUCAAACCAGUCUGUCUGCCUUGAGGCUCUAUUUUUGUUUUAGAUACCAACUUAUUACGCUCUGUUGAACAGUCAUUUAUUAAUGCUAAUAACGUCCAUAAUCGCAGGUGAAAAUAAAAUUUAGAUUCCAGGAUUCCAGACUCAUUCCCCUCACUGCAACUGCUUUUAAUCAAUGGCAUGAUGUGCUGCUGCUGGACGGCUAUUUCAGACCGAUGAUGGACUGACUGACAGCAGUUCUGAUGUCUUCUGAGUCACUGUCUGUCCUUAAAGCUCAGCGUCCAAUCAGUCGGCUACUUCUCACCUCCACAGACUGAGUUUAGUCUGUAAAAUAUCACAAAGCUGUUCACAACCAAACCUCAAACCACAUCCUUACUAUACGGGACGAGAGGGCACAGAAGUUUUAUUUUAAGAUGAUUUCUUGUCUUAGUCUGACUUAGAAAAAGCAGAAACGGCAUCAUAAACACCAAAUCAUUUUUAGCUAGAAGUGACACCAUUCAGAAUGUUACUCAAGUAAAAAAAUAUCAACGAAAAUGACGAUUUUUUUAAUGAUCAAAUAAAAUUAUUUGCAAUAGACUUGAUAUGGAUAAAUAAUUGCAGCUCAUCUGACUAUUAUUAAUACUGAUUUAUUGUGGUGUGUAAGUAGAAUUUUAAUGUUUCAGCUGGUCAAAAUGGAGUUAUAUUUUAUUUAUUUCGAAAUAAAAUAUAUUUAUAUUUACAGUUUUCUAUGGAAAAUCAGAAUCUGCAUAGCAACGUGCUGCUAAACCACAAAAAUACAUUAUUUUCUUUUAAAAUGUCAUGAACUUAAUGAACAAAGUAGCAUGAACUAGAGAAAUAUAACAUGAAAACAAGAAUAUAUGACUAUAUUGGGUAUAUUUACUAUUUCAUAUUGGUAUAGCAAGUACAUUUAGAAGGACAAUUUCAGAGGCAAGUGCACUUUUUACUCCACUACAGUUAUGUUAAAGCUUUUGUCUCUCGGUACUUUAAUUAAAAAUAGAAUGAACUCCUAAAGUAUGAUGUAUUAUAUAUAACUACUAAUUAGCAUACAGGGUAAUUAAACUCAUUUUUACCAGCUACACACAGGCAUUACACUGAAACUACACAAAAACAUCAAUAAUUAAAAUCUAUUAAUUGAAUAUAUAUCAUUCUGAAGUAUAUAUCAGCUAAUUCUGAAAUUCUACACAUGAAUGAGAGCUUUUAUUUUGGAACGAUAAGUACUUUAUGCUGUCAGCUAUCAAAUAAAUGCAUUGUGUAUAUUUAUUGCUUCUUGAUUCUGGUGCCUGGAGUCAAAUUAGACAAUGAAAAGUUUAAUAUUUCACUCUGUAGGUUGAUUAAGUGUUAUAGAAAAGUAAAAGAUCUCCUCAGAAGUCUACUUCAAGUUAGUACUUACCCCUGAGGUGUUUUCAGUUAUUCAGGCUGACUGGAGCUUCUUUUAAAGAUGAUGUGAGCAUGUUCAGACCCAUUCAGCCCCAUGUUUACAAUGUUUGUAAUAUAAUGAUGUAUAUAAUAUAUACAUCAUAUAUAAUAAUAUAUCUGAAAAAAAAUCUGAAAUUUUCCUUUGAGCCUAAACCCAAAUUUUUAUAUGUGUGAUUUUGCAUGCAGGACUUUUACUUGCAAAUGAGUAUUUUUGCAUUGCAUAAUGUAGUAUCUUCUUCCUCCACUACUGGUGACCCUGAUAACAACUACAGAUGUAGAUUUGGAGAUUUUUAUUCACAGUAUAUUUUACAUCUUAUCGUGCAUUUUGUAGCUUAGCAUAUUUUUCUAUAUUUAUAUAAUAUUUAAUAAUUUUCUACUGUGGUGGUGGUCACUUUACUGUUUCUGUAUGCUGCUGGAACAUCAGAAUUUCCUUAUGGGGAUCAAUAAAGUGUUUGUCUUCUA